ACACGAAGCCACGUCUGACAUUGUAGUCAGCAACAAGCUGAAGCCAAGGUUUGUCUUUUAAGGAGCAGGUUUGUCAGCAGGUGUGAGCCAUCAGCAUUUUGGCCUUAAGUGGACAGGCCUGCCUCUCUUCUGCCUGACCUUCUGUUGUCUACGUUCUACAGAACAGCAAAAAAGAAGGGGACUGUACCCACCCAGAAAAACCAUGAAGUUGACUACAGUAGAGAGAAGCAUAACAAACUAAUUGGUACCCUUGAAGCAGCAGCGCCCAGAGAUGCCUCCACUGUCCCUUUGGCCCAAGCUGGUCCAUCAGUGGCUCCUUCGGCACUCAUCUCUCCUGGUCUUCUGGUCUGUGCUGGUGCUAGUAUUCCUCAGGAUCAACUUCAGCAGAUUCAGCCGGACACGCAAGUUUCUCUUCUGGUUACUUCUGCUGUUGCCACAUCGGCAGUGGUCGCAUCGCCAGCUGCUUAUACGGAGCAACCCAAAAAAGUAGAAACUCAUAGUGAUAGAGAAAAAGAAGCUGACUGGAUUUCAUGUUACUACUUAUUCAUUGAGUCUCGCUUCCCCUGCUCACUCUUUUUCUCAGCUCCUUCCAUGGAAAUAAGUGUAUUAUUGUCUGCUUGACACUGUGUAGGACUUGAGGCAUAAUUUCUUUGUCUACUUUUUAAAAGAUGUUUUUAGAUGUUUUAUGGCUUGUGUGUUUACCACCUUGGGCUACUUUGGGAGGAAGGGUGGGAUGUAAAUUUAAAAAAUAGAUAAGUAGAUAAAUAAAUACAGUGUUGAUGUUUUCUUCUGUCCUUAUUGUUUUUUGCCUGCUUGUCAUAA